UUUUUUUUUUUUUUUUUUUUUUUAUUUUCUGAAGGAGGUCAGUGGGUGUCUCUGUGUGUUUGUGAAGGGUUGGCUGUUGGAUUGUAAUUUAUUGUCUCCUUAUGUGCAGUUGUGAAGGGUCGAAUGGAGAAAUUUAAUUUGUAUGAGUUUUUUGUGCAUAUACCCGUGUGUGUGCUUGUAAUGAACAUGUAGAAAUGUAUUUGACAUGUAGGUGUGUGUGCAUGAGUGCUUACAUUUGCACUUCGUUUACGCUAUAAUCACUUGCAAAUUGUUGCGUUUUGAUUUUAUGGAAGUAUUGUUGGAUAUGACCAAAUAAAUGGGCAGAUAUACAGAGGGUAUUUCGGUCAGGACCUCUUCAUCCACAGCCACGGGUGAGUGCUCAUUUUGUGAUUAUCCCAUAUCAAAAUGUCAAAAGUUUUGAUUGAUGCAGAUAAUUAUUUAGAAAGUAGAAUUAACCAGUUAACAAGGCCUUGUCAUUUAAAUAUUUUCCAUGCAGUUCAUUGUUUUUGUUGGUUUAAUAAUUUCAUUACUUUUAGCAACUGAAUUACGUGAUCUCUUCCUAUGUUUCCAUUUUUAAUUUAUUCAUUUCUCACCAUGUGAUGCUGAUUGCCCCUUGUUUGCAUAAAUGUAUGUACUAACAUACUGCUGCCAAAUGAUGGCAGAUAAUAUGCUUGCAUGGAUCUCCUGAUGGGCCUGGACAGUAAGUACUUUUAAGAUAUUUGGGAGCAUCUAUGAUAUCUUCUUCAUUGGCUUUUACACACUUUCACUUGUGCAGAUACGUUGCUAUCAUGAAUUCCAUUUUUUCUGCUCAACGUUCAAUGGUAUGUGGUCUAUUUUAUGAAUUUUUUAGUUUUAGGAUCAUUAUAAUUCUCAAAUUAACAUCUGUGCUCUUUCUGAGAUGAUUUAUGUUGGUAAUGACCUCCCUAUUUUAAUUAAAUGGACUUCCAGGCGUUCAUGUUUUUCUUCUCUUGUUUGCAUUAGCUGCAUAGAAUUUGUCUCAGUAGUUUUCUUCUCUCAUUCAAUCUCUUAUUGAACCUUAUGUUGGUCCUUUCUAGGACAAGCCAGACCACAUACUAAGGCUCUCAGUAUUCCUGUACUUAAAUUGGGUGAUUGCUUGUAUUUGGGUGAUAAUCUUGGUGAUCAUGGUGUCCUAGAUACCAUUUAUCACACCAUGAAAGAAAAGGGUUUUUUUUUUAAAUAAAAAAAAGAAUCGAUUUCAUAGCAUUGGUGUUUGAUGCGAGCACCUUCUUGUUUUCUUUUUCAGCUGACUGUUGCUAAAGCAUUAGGUUCUUUUCAGUUCUUAGGUGGAGAUCAGAAAUUAACACAUGCAUUUCAGAUUGGCUUUUGUUCACAAUAAAUAUGCUUAUUUUGUAACUCAUUCAAAAGUUUAGAUGUUGUACACGCCUGUGUACAGUUUUUCAUUGUGAUGCUAAUCAAUUUGAGGUGUCUUGACAUGUCAAUAUUAUGCUUUCUUCCACAGGUACCGAUUGAUUCAUGUGUUAUAGGAAUCCAGCAUUCUGCUUUUCUUCAGCAGGUUGUGAUCUGCUGUUACAUUUUUUCCAUUAUUCAAGAAGGUGAAUGUGAGAUGCUUGAUUCUUUUUAGUGAUCUAUUCUGGUGAUAAUUUAGGACAGGCUUCUUAUAUAACUGGAGGUGUAUAUCUAAAGCCACAGCAGUUGGAUGGACUUUUCCAGUAUCUGGCGGUAGGUCUUAUUCUUCAUCAGACGCUAAACAAAGAAGCCUUUUUUAUUACUAGUGUGACUCACUGAGACUUUGCCAAUGGUUGUUGGUCUAAGACAUUAACUCGUUUAUGGUUUUGAUAUCAUUGGGAUCAGUUAGUGCAACAUAGUAUGGUAAUUAUAUCAUCCCCUUCAAUGCAAAUGGUUCCUUUAUCAAAUGCCUUUUUUCUUUUGUGGUGUCAGCUGAAAAUUGACCUAUUUAUUCUCUUGCAAGAAUAAUUUAACUUUAGUGGUUUGUUUUCAAGUGUUUGUAUUACUAGGCAAGGAACGAAUUAUUCUUCCUAGUUAUUGUGGAUGAGACACUAUUUAGUUGUCUUUAAAACAAUAAAACAGCUUGGAGUGAGGGUAACACUUACUUAUAGCAAGUAUAGUGGAAUACUGGGUUUUACAGCAGAAUUCAUUGAGUUACUUAAGCUUGUACUUUCUAGAUAACAUUUUUGGGGACAAGUUUAAUUGAUUUUUCGUUCUCUUGUGGUGCACAUGCUACUUAAAUUUUGACCUUUAGUUGACCUUUUGAGAAAUAUUGUGUAGUUAUUCUGCAUCUUUAACUAAAUACAUUUUUCUUUCAUCUAAAAUUUUGAGCAUGGUUCUCCAUUUCCUAUGUCAGCCUCAUUCCACAACUGGUCAUUUCACAUUUCUUGUUUUUUAUCAAAGUUCUGGAGUCACAUUUGUUAGGCAGUUAGACUGUUAAGCUAUGGAAUGCAAUGCCAUCUAAUAGUUAGUCAUGAUAUACACUAAUAUAGAAGAAGAGGAGCGCAUUGGGGAUGGAGCUACUUGAGUCGAAUAUGGAUUUAUAACUUUGUAGGAUGCCAAAUCUUGCACAGAGAUUCUUCUCCUUGGUGUAGUGCUUAGUGAACCCUUGGGUGUGGACACAGGCUUCCCUUGUUUCUUUUCUGAUUCCUCAUUUUGUUUUGAUCAAGUUUUGAAUUUAACAUUUGGCUUUACAUUGUAAUCAAAACCACCUCGUGUAUAAACUAAGAAAGCACAAGCGUCUUGUUGCUUUUAACUUCUGAAGUGGAUAUUUCUUCAGUAAGGCGUGUUAGCACUUAUACACAGGAACAAAGUGUGAAGAAAGCAUGUUUUCCUACUCUUAUAGGAGUCUUUGCUCUUUUUUUAUUCUUUAACCAUUGGUUACUGUUAUCUGGGGCCUUUGAUUGUGGUGGUUGAAUGAUAAAAUUAACCAAACAUCAUGGAAAUAUUAUAUUGCAAUAGAGCUCUAUGGUUUCCUUUCCAAUUUUCAAGUAUCAAGUCCCAAUUCUUCCAUCUCAUUCUCUUUAUGGUGGCAAGUCACAAUUGGAGCAUGUUUGUUUGUAAUUCUUCACUUUUCUAUAUCCCUUCCCAGCCCAUGUGGCCCUACUGCAUGCAUCGUGGUGUUUAAUGUCUUUUCUUGUUUCCCUUUUGCAUUUCCUAUCUUCUACUACCCCAAGCCAGUCAGUGGUCCUACAAAUCUCUACCUCAUUUUCCUUCCCUACCUUUCCACCCUGUUCCCAUCCUGCUACAUUAGAUGAAGACGAGGAGUUUGUUCCCUGGUUAACUUGUUACUCUUAUUAUUUUAACAUCUGUGGAAUAUUCUCUUCCACUUUGAGUCCAUAUAGAGAUGUUUAACUCUCAUUCACAUGAGUGUGUCCCAGUUCAAGUCUAAAACUUUUAUUUUCCUUAGCAUAUUUAUUGUAGCAGACUUCCAAUGGUUCUGCUUAAUGAAGGCAACUUAAGCUUUUGCACAUGCUAGAUGAAUUUAGUGUUAUAAUUGUUUAGUUUGCUCGGAUCAAUCAACUUACUUCAUGGGCCCCUCCUGGGCAGCUCAAUUGGUCACGGAAGCUUCUCAGCAUCCGUUGUCCAUCUCCCCCACCAGGGAUCAAGUCCCAGGGUUAUCGUGCCCGAGGGGAUGGGGCCUCUCCUUUCGGGCCGGAGGGGGAUUAGUCGGGCCGCAACCCGGAUACCCCCUCCGUCAGAAAAAAAAAAAUCAACUUACUUCAUGGAGCUUUUCAUUUGGCUUGUCUUUUAUGAUUCAGUAUUUUUUGUUUUAAAUUGCAUACAGCAUUUUUUUUUUUACAUAUAGUUUGGCUUCUGAUUCCUUUGGAUUUCUUAUUAAAGCUUUUAGUUGCUAAUCGUGACUAUUUUGUAAAAAUAUGCAGACAGUGUUUGCUACCGAUUUACAUUCUCGGAACUUUUUGCAACUGCCAAAGCCUGUUGGUGUGGAUUUUCGUGCUUCGUAAGUAACUUAGAAGUUUGAUCCCCCUAUUUUGUUUCUCCAUAACGAUGAAACAUUGAUUGGCCGUUAUUUUAAGAUAGCAGUUGGAGAGUUUUUCAUUGUAGCACUUUAUAUGCUUUUAGAUGUAGAAGCCUGCUGGGAAUCACAUGCUUAUAUUAAUUUUUCAAAAUUUCAUGCAUCCUAAUACUAUUCCAGAGACAAACAAUAUUUUUGUGUUUGCACAUGAAUAAUUUUGCAUAAUGCAGUGAAUGAGCAGUUUUUGUCAGCAGUAAUUUGUGGAUCCCGUAUGGGAGCUUCCCUCAGUUGUCUAUAAAUGCUUGAAGUUAACUGUUCUUUCUGGUAGCUUGGUCCAAAAAACAUUCGCAGAUUCUCUGUUGGAAUCUGCACAUAUAGAAUCUUUACUACCCUUCAUGGUUUUGGUCUCAAGGAAAAGUUGCUUGUGUGACUUUGACAUUUUUGGGUAAAUUGUAUUUCCUUUCCUUUUCCCCAGCACAAAGUAAAGUUUUUGUUGUCAGAUACGCACAAAUGAGAAUUGUCUUUCAAGAAAAAGGAAUGAACUAAUAAGCAAUUGCUUUCGAGAUGAUUUCUCCAUCUUGCAUUGACAUACUAUUGGAAAUACUAGAAGCUAAAUUCUGACAUAUAUCCAAAUUUUAUACACUUGGGAUCAUAAUGAUUUUGGAAGACACUUUCAUUCAGUGUCAUCCUUGCAAGUUUGUUGGUUACGUUGUGCAGUCAAUGUUUUUUUAAUGAAACUUUAGUUUUUAUAUAUAUAUAUAUAUAUGACGUCAAAACUAUAUGUUGGUGCAGUCAAUGUGCACCCACAGUUUGUACUGGCUUACUGUUGCCUGCUGUGCCUAAUGCGUCUUGUUAACCUGAUCAAUAAAACUUGCAGGUGCUUCUGCCACAAAAAUACAAUUGACAUGGGUUUUAUAUGCUCUGUUUGUUUAUCGAUAUUCUGUAAGCAUCAAAAGAAAUGUUCAACCUGCGGGUGAGUUCCACUUGCUGUUAUAUGUCUGAUUCAAACUCUUCUAAUAGUGAAUUCUGUUUCUAGCCAUUUAUAUGUCCUGUGCUUGCUUAAGUAUGAUUGAGGAUGAACUGUUAUUUUGUCAUAUUUUCUUCCAAAAAGAAAUAAAAUAAAUGAAAUGCUGAUGUGCUUGAGCCACUUACAAAUCAAGCUGGUUAGAUCAAUAAGCAAGAGAACAAGGGUUUUUUCCUCAGUUGGGGCCUGGGGAAGGAAGGUGAGUUGGGGAAGAUGGUACAGUGGUGUAGGAAACUAGAAAUGCCUGACAUUUAUAGUCAAAAUAGCUACUUGCCUAUCUAUUAUUUGUGAUCCUUCUCUUAUCCUUGCAUUUUGUGUAUCUUUCUUAUUCUUUCCCCUUGGCCAUUUGAUGAUUAUGCUAUCAAUAGCAACACAUGUUAUAGUUACAAGUAAAUUGCAUUUGUUUAAGCUGCUUUACAUUUGCUCUAUCUGGAUGAUUUGUUACAGUAUCACCAUAAAUUUAGACUGAGAGGAAAGUUCUUCUACUGAAUGAUAGGAUGCUCCCAAAUGUCUGUAGGUCAAUUUUUGGUCAGGCGCAAACACGUGAUCCCUCAGCAUCACAGCAAAGGAAGUAGUCUCCAGGAGAUACUCAAAUAUGAACAUAUUCCAGCUUUGCCUUUGGUUUCCUCGUCAUGCGUGAAGUCACACGACACUCGAGAGCUUUUGAUGUUGCAGCCUGAAGUAAAUGACAUUGGCAUCGACAUCAAACUCAGAUUAUGCACUGGAAGCUAUCUUAGAAAUCCAUGGUUGAAAGUUGGGAAGGACGAUCAGCAUCCAUUUUGCAUAUUUAUGCUGAAGCAUUGCUGAACCAAAAUGCGAUGUCGUUGCUCUCAAUAUGUGGUUAUUUAUAUGAUUGAAUUGUCGACUAACACAGACUGCUGGACAAGGCUUGGCGUGUAAAGGUUCUUGGAAUUUCGGUUCUUUAGCAGGACUUUUGAUUGCACUUUCAUUUCAUGUGUUUUCCUGACUUUGAAUGUUGUCAAACAAGAUCCAUGGAAAGUAUGAUGCUAACCAGUGUGGGAUUAUGGCAUCAUUAUCUGAGCUUCUGUAAAUGUGCAAGCCUAGUUAGCUUUUCAUUCUGUUUCUCAUUGUCCCUCUCCUAUUUCUGGCUGUCAAGGUAGGGGCAUAAGCUACAAUGAACUGUUAGCCUAACCAUAUAUAUAGAGGCAGCUAGAGCCCUGAUUUCCAUCUUCAAAGUGUUUGUCUAAUUUGUGUCCCUUGGACACUCUUACUCGGGGCCUUGAGGUAGAAAAAUUGUGAGCUUUUACAUUCAGAUGAUCGAUUGUGGGUAUUAACCUGAGCUGAUGAGGUAAAAUUACUCUUGGUUCUUUGCAAUAAAUGCACUUUUUCCUUGGAACACUAAAGCAAAAAUUCCUCAUCACCAUCCAUUGCAAGGAAUAAAUAAUGCUCCAUUAUUGUCCUUAUCAACUUUCCAACAUAUCAAGCCAAAGUAAGCUUUAAUUAUCUCUUUGCUUACCAAAGAAAAGUCCUCCUCUUGGUCAGAAGAUAAGCAUAGCUGGGAAUACUUGCUGCUGCGGCAAAUUAACUCUUUGGGUUCAAAAGUAGGAGAAAAUUACAUUAUGGUGGCCAUUAUAUACCUUGGUAUUUCUUUUACCUGACAUUCUAGUAAAUCUUAGUUCACUAUGCUUUAGUCUUUUGUUUAAAUUCUUAAUUGUCUUUGAAUCAAUUUGAUAUUACAUCUUGAAGAAAGAUUUUUUUAGAUGAAUUUUAUCUGAUUCACUUGUGUGAGAUUUUCCACUAAUUCUUCUUUACUCAUCAAAUCUCAACAUAAUUUUUGGUGGUCAAAUUGAUACGUUUACUAGCUGUAUAAUGGAGUUUAGAAUCGGCGGAUUUUAAAGGAUUAUGUUUCCGAGAAAAGACUGAAAAUUACUGUUAAAAUUUUCACGUUUAACCAUUUACUUGAAAUUUUUAUAAAAACCAAAAUUUAUUUAUUUUUUUGUGUGAGGAAAAUCAUUUUUCAUUUUCCCUUUUCUUUCCUUGUCUUUUUCUUUCCUUAAAUAUGGAUUUCAAUUUAUUUCAAAUUCAUGUAUCAAGCUCUCCUGUGAUUCCUCCAAAUUCCUCCUAAAAGGCAGUGGAUUUAUUUGUGUUUGUACCUCUAUGUACUACAAUUUCUGCAAUAUUUACGACCAAAACUUUGUAUGUUACAAAUUCCUCCAUUGUGUAGAUAUUACUUGCUGACCUCUCUAUUGAAGCUCAUUAACCAUGCUGAUUACGCCAAAUAGUUGAUGAGAUCUUGAUUUAACGGUAGGCCUGUCAACGGGUCGGGUCUAGACCCGGAUCCGGACCGGAUCCGUGAAAUUAUUGCGGGUAUGGGUAGGGAUUUAAUUCCGUUUCCCGGAUCCGGACCGGAUCCGUUUUGUCAAACAAAAAACGGGUCGGAUACGGAAUAUAGUAUUCCGACCCGUAUUAGACCCGGAUCCGGAUAUAAAUGAAUUAAUAAUUUAAAAAAUAUAUAUUUAUCAAUAUAAUUUGAUUAGGGUGAUGUAUUUUAAUAAAGUUAAUUUGAUUUCUUUUCUUAUUUAGUUUUUUCUUUGCAUUAGUUAGAAAUUAGUUUACAAAUAUAUUUUUUUCUCAUUUUUAUUAGAAAUUAUAAAUUUUGGUAAAUUUGUUCGGGUAGACCCGGAUCCGGAUCCGGACCCGCCGGAUCCGGAUCCGGAACAUAGAAUAAAAGACCCGUCGGGUAAACGGGUCGGAUCCGGAUCCGGCAUAGUAAUUCGGGUCCGGGUCCGGAAUAAUGAAUUCCGGCCCGGACCCGACCCGUUGACAGCCCUAUUUAACGGCUAAGGUUGAGAAUCCAGGAAUUAGCGGUUCUGAAUUCAAAGUUCCCUGCCUCGUCCCCUUUUCUUAAAUUUUAUCUUUCCUUUACUAGAAAAAAAUUUUAAAAAAAAAACUGAUUACAAAGCGAAACGAACAAAAAUUAAAUGCAAAGGCUGUUUGACCAAUCAGAAAAGCUGUUUGUGCCACCCUGACCUUGAAUCAAGGGCUUAAAAUUAGCAUCAAAGGACAGAUUAAUCAACACAAAUCAAACUGAUAAGAACCAACAAAGUGACCAAACAUUGCAUGUUCAUAAAGCUGAUUGGCAUGUCUAAGAACAAGCACUUGAACAUGAAAUAAGGAAAACCCUAAGAGAUUUAGCCUGUAGUCUAUAAAUCCUAAGAGAUUUAUCCUUUUGUCUAUGAAGUGAAAUGAACAACUGAAUGCUUGUAAACCCUAAAGCUAGCCUAAAAAACCAUGAUUGCUUCAGAGAGAAUUUUCUGGUAAUAAUUUUGUGUUGUCUUUUUCAGUGUGUGAUUCUCUCUCUUUCUGGUAUUUAUACCAAAAAUCAUUGGCUGUUGAUCUAGUUAAACACCUGAACUGCCACUAUCCUAUCUUUUUUUUUUUUUUUUUUCGAUUGUCAUCUCUACUCCUACUCCUACUCCUACUCUAUCUACGGGGAGGCUCAACUGAGCCUAUGGGGACUGAUGGGGACAGAACCACCACCGGACCAGAUGGGUGCGUAGUGCACCCGUCUGGAUUUGAAGCAGAGCCACAAGAGUGGUAUUUUUGGUGGGAGACAAGGGUUCAAAGCCUUAAGGGCUUGGUGGUGGCCACCCGCCCAAGAGCUGGUGGUUACCACUAUCCUAUCUAAGUGGCCAGCUUUCUCCAUGUUUCCAUUAAAUAUUGGUCCACAACAUUAUCCACUUAGCAGCCAUAAUAUGACCUGCUAUUCUUUCACUAGUGGACCACAUUUUCAUCCACUUAAUAUAAUCUAUCCUGUAUUUCUCACUUACAGGGCCAUGAUUCUGUACAACUCUUGUUUUCAAAGAUAUGGGUUCCUUUGGAUCAACCUCUCUGAAUCAGCCUCUUGAAUCAUCACUUGUAUCAGCUUUUUGAAAUCAACUUCUUGAAUCGGAGCCCAUCAUGUUCCAUCCUUUCCAAUCAGAAGGGGUGGCCCCUUUUUGUUGUGUUUGAUUGAGAUUUCACUAAGUGCAUAUGAACGAGUAAAUUUAGCCCCACCAUGGUGUGUCUGAUUCCUAUUAUCAUAAUCUUUUGUUUGUUAAUAUACUUGUUGCUUGUCUGUAGUGGGGGAUGACAGGUAUAAUAUCAAGAAGUUCCAUCCUUCCCGAUCAGAAAGAGUGGCCCCUUUAUGGUGUGUUUGAUUGAGAUUUGACAAAGUGCACAUGUAAAUUUAUACCCAACAAACUUUGUUGAUAAGUAAAUUCCUAUUAUCAUAACUUUUAUUUGUUCGUUUUGUUUAUGGUAGGGGAUGACAGGUGCUUGUUUCCCUACCUUCUGCCAGGCUUUCGCUUAACUAUCUUAGGAAUAAGGGAUAAUUUAAAAAACCAGGUUUCUAACAAUUCACUAAUUUCUCUUAUUUCAAAAAUUACACUUACUCUCCUCGAUUUGGCAUUUUUAGAGUGCGUUUAAUAAAACUGAAAUCUAAGAACUAAAAUUUGAAAUAUGAAAUCUGAAGUCUGAAUCAAUUAAAUUAUUGAAUUGUUAAAUUCUAAAUUUGAUAUAUUUAAGUGUAUAUAUCACAUUAAGUGAUAAGUGAAUAAUUUAUCACUUUAUUUUGAAGCAAAAUUUGUCUAAAAAAUUCAGUGUCACUUAAUUAAUUUACAUGUUCAAUUUUUUGUUAUUAAACGCGUCUGAACAUGUUAAUACAAGACGAUUAAAGUAACCCAAUAAUAUUUACAAUACAUUAAAGUACAAAGUUUCAUGGAUAAUGAAACUUAUUAGUGAAACUAUGCUCCUAAAAGUAUUGGACUUGGACCUGGACUUGGACUUGUAGUAAUUAUGUUUGUUUAUUAAGGAUUUCCAUCAAAAUUAUUACUCACAAGCAUGUAUGUAAUUUGACUUUUUACAAAUUAUUGGGGUUAAAGACAAAUUUUUUCUAAAUUUCAACAAUUGCUAAUUAGUUGGGUAAAUUCAAAAUUUUUCAAAUAUUACUAUGCCUAAAAAUGUAAAUUCAUUUGGCUAGAGUGGCAUGCCGAAUAUGCAGCUUUGCGCUUUUUAUCAGGGAGUACAUGGUUUUACGGGUCAGGGUUUGCUAGGUACGGGGAGGACAUAAUGAACACAUCAUUUGAUGGAAAAUCUAAUGGUAUAAUUCUACCAAAACAUGAUGGGGUGGAUUGGAGUUGAUGGAUCUGGUCGUGAAGACUAAACUCAUGAUGGAAUCCGCGAAAGUUUUGCAAAAGGUAAUUUCCUUGUGAUGGCGCUGGGACAAAGGACGGGCAACAUCUAAAUAGAAUCUGGAACUUUAUUUUUUUAUUUUAGGCACUCAAGUUACAAGGGAGAAAGAGGGAAGUAUUGUGGCCCUGGGUGCAAUUGAACCUGUUAAUAAUAUAAUCAAAUAGAUAUGUUUUAUGAUUUUCUAUUUCAAAAGAUAUUGUCCCGCAUUAGAAAAUCAAAGAAAAUUUCAAUCAUUUUAUAAUACUUGUUUCUUAUUGGAUUUGUAUUAAAUUAAUAACUAGUGUGAGCUUAUGCGUAUGAGAAGGAAGUUGAGUUGAACCUAUCCAACGUAAAUUGAUGAAUUUGCCCCGUGCAAGUAGGCUCAGUAUAGUUUUACUUCUAUUCUAUUUAUGGAUAAAAAUUUUAUCUUUUUCCAACAUAUCUUUCUUGAGAGCCACUCCUAGAUUAGAAAUCCUUCUCCAACAUGUCUUCUUCUAUUCUAUUUAUAGAUAAAGUUUUGACUAUUUCCACUGGAUGAUAAAGUUUACAAAAAAUCACCGAAAUUUUAUUCUUCUCCAACAUAUCCUUCUUGAGAGCCACUCCUAGAUUAGAAAGUACACUCACAACACAUUUUGACUAUUUCCACUUGAUGAUAAAGUUUACAAAAAAAAAAAAUCACUGAAAUUUUAUCCUUCUCCAACAUAUCUUUCUUGAGAUCGAGCCACUCCUAAAUUAGAAAAUACACUCACAACACAAAGUUAGUUUAUAAAAAAUCACAGAAAUUUUAUCUUUCUCCAACAUAUUUUCUUGAGAGCCACUCCUAAAUUAGAAACUACACUUACAUUACGAAGUUUCAGUUGAAUUUUCCUUACAGUUGCUUCUUUCUUCCAUCUUCUCUUUUGUUGUUCCUCUUCCUUCUUGUUUACAAGAAGAAUGAUUAUUUAAUCACGAAGCAAAGUUUCAACAUCCUGAAAUAGCUUUUCCGAACAGUACUAUUUAGCAUGACUUAAGUUUGUUCAAAUUAUUACUUCUUCAACAUUGUUCAGAUUAUUUUCCAACAAUACUACUGUCAUUAUGGCUGUCAUGGGAACUUGUUAAUACCAUCUGAAGAAUAUCAACUAUCUUUAUUGACAAGUAUCUAUAUCAUUGGAAUACAUCAUCAUUAUGGCUUUGAUUAGUUCGCAUCAAUGCUCGUCACACUCAUCCAACAGUAUAUUUGGAUUAUUGUUGUGAUGUAGCUUGCAUUAAUGCAUCUACCAUUCUUCCCCAACUGAAAGACCAUCAUGUUUUUUGGCAGUAUAUUGGUAAUUGGGGUGAUGUACUUGUAUUAUUGCAUGUACUGGUUUUUUUUUGGCACGUUAGAUUGAGCAUUGUCGGCCGGUUUUUUUUUUGGCAUGUUAGAUUGAACAUUGCACGAGUGCUUUAUCAACUAAGAAAUCACCUUCAUCACUUGAAAGAGUUCACUGUGUGCCUGAAAAGCCACAUUUUUUUGCUUUGGCAUGUUAGAUUGAGCAUUGCAUAAUUGCUUUAUCAACUAACUAACAAAAUUUCUACUUACUUCCCCACUUGAUUUGAACAAAAAACUGUCUUACUUACGACCCUCAUCUUAUCAUUCAAUCCAAUCCUCCCCUCCUAUCUAACAUAAUCUUUGUUUGUUAAUACGUUUGCCUUCCCUCCUAUUUAUCAUAAUUUUGUUUGUUAAUAUGUUUGCUAUUUGUAUUAAAGAUGGUUCGAGGUAUAAAUAUCAACUUUGGCAUAAAUAGCAUGAAUACCAUUGGAUAGAGAGGAAAAUGAAAUUCCAUCUGUAUUGUUUUAGGAAAUUACAUAUUUUCACAUUUUGUUAUUUCCUCGUUUGAACUUCCUUGUUCAAGAGCCUGAAAAUAGAAAUCUAAAUGCAACCUCUAUCUUUAUUAGCACAAUCAAAUACUUAUCAUUGUGCCUUUAAUAAAUUAACUAUUUUUGUUGAAAUUAUGUGUGAAUAUAGCUUUACAUUUAUCCACUACAUUUAUACACCUCCUCCAAGAGGUAUAAAAUGGAUCAUCCAUUUAUUUGCCAGGAUGGAGGACACCUCAAAUCUUUUUAUAGCAAAUUAUGUCAUAGCUCCCAGAUUUCUAGAUAAUUUUAGUAGAAAAAAAUAUGUAAUGAGUUCAAAUUUAUAUCCCUUAAAAAUCAUAUUUUUAGAAAAGAUUUGACCAACAAAACUUUUACAAUGUAUCACACAUUUUAACAAUCUAAUUGGUAUUAUCAAGUGCUAUAUAUUUUAUAAAUGAAAUAUAUUUUUAUUCUAGAUUUUUUUUUGAGAUCCAAUAUUUGACUUAUUACAGUGUUAUUACUUUAUUAGUUUACUAAAAGGUAUUCAAUGUGUCAAGAAGAUUGAAACUGCAUAAUUUUGACAACAAAAUUUGUUGGCAAAAAUACAACCACUUUUUAUGUAUACAGAAAUAUGAGGAGGCAUUCAUCUGUACAUACCCAUAAAGGGAGAGAUCCAAAUUUUGGUCUCCCACUGUUGGACUAAUAGUUUGCUCAAAUCCAAAACAUUCCAUGGAAAGUUUCAAUUCAUCGAUUUUGGUUUCUUUUAUAUGUCUAGAUUUCCAUUUUGGAGACACCAAAUUGCAUUUUUCAUCUUAAGCGUAAGACACCUCUUAUGCUGGAGAAGACAAGAUAUUGCCUAGUAAUGUGAUUGCACUUAUCGAAUGAAAACAUCAUGCACCUUCUAAAGUGUGGAAACAUAUAAAAUCUAGUACUUUGCAAAAUGCUGUGAACUGAAUAAAUUUUUUAUACACCGUAGAUAUGGAGGAGGAACUACCAUUAUUACAUUACUUCAAACUGCAAAUUGAAGAGGGAAAGAUUUACAGAGUUUAAUUACGGUAUAGAAAAAAAAUUAUUUCAUAUAAAAUCCUUCCUAUUUCACCAAGUCCCCAAAUAAAACCAGAUCUUGCUUGCUUCCUAUACAUGUAUGGUGGCUACUCUUUUUCGUGGUACUUGAGCUUAAUGACAUCCCUUUAUUUUAGACUCAUUUGAUCAUGUUCUUCUUCUUUUAUGUUUUUUUUUAAUUGAUGUUGAUACAACCCAUCCUCUUGAGAGGAGAAAUUAAUCAUUUUCAGGAUUAACUUGAAAGAAAUAAAUUGAAUCCGUGCCUAGUAAAUAAUCUGUAAUUUGUCUUUUGAUUUCAAGAACAUGUUUAACUUGUUUUAAUCAUUUCUUGUAAUCAUGUUAUGAUUUAAACUUUUGUGUUUAUGAUGAUGCAUGUGCUUAAGAUAAAUGUUAAACACUUAACAGUUCAAAAAGUUAGUUUCUUUCUGGGCUGGCUUAAAAGAUAGUCUAAAUCAAGGUCAUUAUUCCCUUUCUGUUUAGGUUUUAUGAUGCCCCUCAACAUCUAAAUGAAUGCUUAGAUGAUGUCAAAUUUUUUGUCGAGAUAACUAGAUAUGGACAUAAAAGAAACAGCCAUUCUUUUUUUUUUUCUCCUGUCAGAUUACUUAAUUUUGUAUAGUUUACUUUUUUUGUCGGUAAAUCGCUGUAAUGUAAUCUUUGUACAUUGCCAUUCUAUGCUAAAUAAGCUGAAAAAAUUGAAUAACUUUUCUUACAUUGUUCCAUUUGGGUAAAUUAGUCAGAUUCCAUACCAUUGGGAUAUUAAAUAAAAAAUGUGUCACACCGUAAUAAAAAAUGUUUAACUUCAGCCAAGGACUAGGUCUAAUUUAGCAUGUUUGCAUUUUCAUUUCUUUAUUUUUCCCUAAAUACUGCACUUGCCAGUUUAUAGCAAAAGAUUGCACUAAGGCUUUGUUUAAUAACUCAAUUCAAUACUUAAAUUUAAUAGAUUCAAAUCUUAAUAUGUUUAGUUAUAUUUGAUAAUAAAAAAUAGAAUAUCUAAAUUAAUUAAGUGGCACUAAAUUUUUUAGGUAAAACUUGGUUCAAAAAAUAAGUGAAAAAUUAGUCACUUAUCACUUAAUGUGAUAUACACUCAAAUGUAUCAAAUUUAGUAAUUAUUCAAUAAUUUAAUGGGUUCAGACUUCAGAUUUAAGAUUUAAAAUUUUAGUUUUCAAAUUUUAGUUUUAUCAAAUGCACCAUAAGCUUGCUAGUGCUUCCUUCAAUUAUGCUUUUGUAAGCUAUCUUAUGAAAGAAAACAUAAUUUACUAUGGUAUUUUACUUUAUUCUUUUUUCUCUUCCAAUAGAACAUAAAAUUUAUUAUUUUCCAAAUAGUAAAUCUUAUACACAUUGACGGUAUAUAUACUAUCAUCGUUGGAUUUAUGAUAUAUGUAUAAAAAUUGAAUUUUAAAUUCAAAUUUUACAAAAUUUUCAUUCAUCCAACGUUUAUCAUGUGUACAUACAUUGUUAUUAUAGGAAAGGUUAAUCCUAUUUCAAAUAGAACUUUAGAGUUAUUAUUUUUUUAAAAAAUCUUCAAUAAGACCUUUUCAUGGUUUGAUAAAGUGUCCAACCUAAUUGAGUCGAAAAUCAAUAGUGAACUUCAUGCAAAAGAGCUAUGAGAUGAAAUGAAUAGAGCCUCUUGUUCCUUAAUCUAGAGCCGGACGUGUGGAGUAGUCUACGUCCUAUAGUUUAAAAGACGAGCAAUAAUUAAGCUUUCUAUAUAUUUUGGGCAUUUUUUUGUUAAAAAAAAAAAAAAAACUACUCUAUGGUACAACUUAACGACAAACAAACAUAGACUAUAUGAACGAUUAAAAUUCUUAUACUUGUACCUAUCAUUUAAAUGUCAUAAUUUUUAGUGACUUUUUGUAAGUAAACUCUUUUUUUAAUGUGUAUGUUGUUUUAUAUUAAAUUUGUCAUAUAAAUACACCCAAUCACAUUCUAAUAUUUAUAUAUUUUUCAGAUUUAAAUCUCAUUUUCUAAAAGAUUGUCAUCUAAAAAUCAUUGAAAAGUGGACUGGACUCAAUUAGACGAGCUCUUCUUCUUCCCUUUCUUUUUUCAAAUAAUGACACGGCAAUAAUGCACCCUCUGAAUCACAAAAACACUCGCCCUCUUGCUGCUGCUUGUCCAUGGACCAUUCGUUAUCUGUGCGCCAACCCACUCAACUGUCCCAUCGAUUAAAAUCGAAGGGGGCAAUAGUGGGUCAAAACUUAUUCCUCAUGAUAAGAUGAAAAAAAAUUGGACCCCCAGCCCAAAUGUCUCGUUUUGCACGUGUACUGAUUUGCACAUGUGCUCACAAGGCCCUAAAGUCAAAAUUGUCCUAAUCAAUUGCUUUCCGUGAAUUUUUUGCACGGAUUAACUUUUUAUAAAAGUUUGAUUUUUUACACUAGCAACUUUAAAUAAACACGUGUACAUAGUUUAAAUUUCAAAUUUGAAUUGAUAUUAUGUAGCAUUGAUCUAAUUCUGCUUAUAUAAAAAAAUCUUUAUUUUGACAGAAUAUAGAAAAUUUAUCCAGAUUGCCUACGAAACCAUAUAAAUCGUAGUUACAUAACAACUUUAGAAGCGCCUACAUUUGAACAAGUUUUGUUGUAGUUAAUAAGCAAAUCCUAGAGUAACUAAUUACUGCAUCCGAUCGGUGUGAAUAAUGCACUUGAAGUGAUUCUUUUGGGCACAUAAGAGAGACAUGAUAUGAAAUAGUGCUACUAAUUUUUUUGUUUUGGUCGACACGAUAUGUUCUACACCUACUCCUGACAGAUUUUUUCAAAAAAUUCUAAAGAAAAAUUCAAGAAAUUUAAUCCCUUGACCUAUAUUCAAAGAAAGGUUUAAACCUCUCUCUAGCGGCAAAAAAAUAGUGCUACUAAAUGACUCUAGCAUUUCUUUUCUUUUCCUCAAAGAUUCUUGACACAUUUCUCAACGAUCGCUUUUUGCUACGUAUGCACUAUGCCGUACAAUGUUAGUGCCAAAAAUCAGCGCGAACAGUUAGAUUAUAUAUUGGUUUUUCUAAACACUCACUCAAAACCUGCAAUCUAAACGAAGCCACAGAUUGCCGGCACAAAUUAACAGUUAUGCUUUACUUGUACUGGUAGGAUACAAAAGUAACACAUAACACUGUAAAAAGUUAUCUAGUACUGGUAGGAUACAAAAAUAACACUAACACACUGUUAAACAGUUAUCUACACGAGCAGAUUUGUAGCUAAAAAGGCUCGAUUUUGCCUCCAUUAAGCCUAUAUUUCACCCAUUGCUGACAAUAGAUUUGAUAUAAUCAAUCAGGGUCUGCCCAAUUAUACCAAAUUGUGCGUCCAAACGUAAGCAAGAUAACCCUUAAGGCAGAGU
rnacentral:lncRNA from 1 species